GAUGAACGCUGGCGGCGUGCUUAACACAUGCAAGUCGAACGAUGAAGCCCAGCUUGCUGGGUGGAUUAGUGGCGAACGGGUGAGUAACACGUGAGUAACCUGCCCUUGACUCUGGGAUAAGCCUGGGAAACUGGGUCUAAUACCGGAUAGGAGCGCCUGUCGCAUGACGGGUGUUGGAAAGAUUUUUCGGUCAUGGAUGGACUCGCGGCCUAUCAGCUUGUUGGUGAGGUAAUGGCUCACCAAGGCGACGACGGGUAGCCGGCCUGAGAGGGUGACCGGCCACACUGGGACUGAGACACGGCCCAGACUCCUACGGGAGGCAGCAGUGGGGAAUAUUGCACAAUGGGCGGAAGCCUGAUGCAGCGACGCCGCGUGAGGGAUGACGGCCUUCGGGUUGUAAACCUCUUUCAGUAGGGAAGAAGCGAAAGUGACGGUACCUGCAGAAGAAGCACCGGCUAACUACGUG
rnacentral:rRNA from 1 species